rnacentral:rRNA from 1 species
GCCUAAAGCGUCCGUAGCCUGCUCUGUAAGUUUCCGGUUAAAUCCAUUAGCUCAACUAAUGGCCUGCCGGAAAUACUGCAGAGCUAGGAAGUGGGAGAGGUAGACGGUACUCGGUAGGAAGGGGUAAAAUCCUUUGAUCUAUUGAUGACCACCUGUGGCGAAGGCGGUCUACCAGAACACGUUCGACGGUGAGGGAUGAAAGCUGGGGGAGCAAACCGGAUUAGAUACCCGGGUAGUCCCAGCUGUAAACUAUGCAAACUCAGUGAUGCAUUGGCUUGUGGCCAGUGCAGUGCCGCAGAGAAGUCGUUAAGUUUGCCGCCUGGGAAGUACGUACGCAAGUAUGAAACUUAAAGGAAUUGGCGGGGGAGCACCACAAGGGGUGAAGCCUGCGGUUCAAUUGGAGUCAACGCCAGAAAUCUUACCCGGAGAGACAGCAGGAUGAAGGUCAAGCUGAAGACUUUACCAGACAAGCUGAGAAGUGGUGCAUGGCCGUCGCCAGCUCGUGCCGUGAGGUGUCCUGUUAAGUCAGGUAACGAGCGAGAUCCUUGCCUCUAGUUGCCACCAUUACUCUCAGGAGUAGUGGGGCGAAUUAGCGGGACUGCCGUAGUUAAUACGGAGGAAGGAGAGGGCCACGGCAGGUCAGUAUGCCCCGAA